rnacentral:rRNA from 1 species
CCUACGGGAGGCAGCAGUGAGGAAUAUUGGUCAAUGGUCGGGAGACUGAACCAGCCAAGCCGCGUGAGGGAUGAAGGUACAGAGUAUCGUAAACCUCUUUUGUCAGGGAACAAAGGCGGGGACGUGUCCCCGGCUGAGUGUACCUGAAGAAAAAGCAUCGGCUAACUCCGUGCCAGCAGCCGCGGUAAUACGGGGGAUGCGAGCGUUAUCCGGAUUUAUUGGGUUUAAAGGGUGCGCAGGCGGUCUGUUAAGUCAGCGGUCAAAGCCCGGGGCUCAACCCCGGCCCGCCGUUGAAACUGGCAGUCUCGAGUUGGAGAGAAGUAUGCGGAAUGCGCGGUGUAGCGGUGAAAUGCAUAGAUAUCGCGCAGAACUCCGAUUGCGAAGGCAGCAUGCCGGCUCCACACUGACGCUGAGGCACGAAAGCGUGGGUAUCGAACAGGAUUAGAUACCCUAGUAGUC